rnacentral:rRNA from 1 species
UGUGUGCGAAGGGAGCAUAAUCAUUAGUCUUUUAAUUGAAGGCUUGUAUGAAUGGUUGGACAAAAAGUUAACUGUCUCAAUUAUAAAAAUUGAAUUUAACUUUUAAGUGAAAAGGCUUAAAUAUACUGAGGGGACGAUAAGACCCUAUAAAGCUUUACAAUAAAUUAAUUAAAUUAUAAAUUAUAAGUUUAACUUAAUUUAAUUAGUAUUUGUUUCGUUGGGGCGACGAGAAUAUAAUUAUAUAACUGUUCUUUUAUUGUUAUAACAAAUUUAAUUGGGUGAAAAUUGAUCCUUUUAUAAAGAUUAAAAGAUUAAGUUACUUUAGGGAUAACAGCGUAAUCUUCUUUGAGAGUCCAUAUCGACAAGAAGGGUUGCGACCCCGAUG